rnacentral:lncRNA from 1 species
GACUUUGGCCUUCCAUGGUGUAAUUUAGGUUUUUGUACACAACUGAAGAUAAAAUAAACUGAGUUCUGUAGGUAUACCAGGUUUAAAUUCGUUGUAAGGACACAUGGCGGAGUCAAGAAACAAAAGAAAGAAGACAACUUCACAGCACGACGACCCAAACUGAACCCAACUUGGCAGAAGAAAACGUCAAGCAACAAUAUCGUGAGGUGACACUAAGCAAAAAAAUGAAACUCUAUACCUUAGGAUAAGACAGAACAUCAAAAAGAGGACAUCAACAGGCCGACAGCUGAAAAAACAUGAGCAGGAUUUAUUGAUAAAAAACUGACAAAUAGAGUAUAUUACUGACAAACAUCAGGAAACAGACGGCUGACAUGCAGAGUCAGAAGACGGCUAUUGAAAAGCAAAGAGAAGAGUUGGACAACCUGCUCAACAUGAUCAAGAAAGAAGUGAGAGAGUUGGAAGUAAUAAAUACUGAGACUGAGAUAAAGAAAAAACACCUGGUGAAAAUAAUAAGAAUGAGCAGAAGAAAAGAGAUGAAGACAAAUACUAAGGCUGCUAAGCAAAGUAUGGAAGAGGGAACAGAGCAGAAACCAGAGGUGGAAAUACAGGGCAGGAUUAAUAGGCAAAGGCCAAGUCAUGGGGAGUUUCACGGAACCAAAGAAAUAACUCAACCUAUCUCAGCAGAAGACAAUAUAGAGAUGCAGAGAAUGAUUUUGGAAAUAGAAGAGAUCAGAAGGAUGCUGCACAAGUUUAAAGAAGAUACAACUCUAAGCACUAGAAAGGAGACAACACAAAUGAAAUGGCUGAAUUUUCAUUUUAAAAAAGGGAAACAGAAGUUGGAGCAGUUCAUGGAGAAGACUACAAAAGAGAGAGAUGAGCUAGAAAUCAUAAAGAAAAGAACACAACAACAAAGGAAGGAGCUUGAACAGAAAUUGGAAGAUACUUUUAAAAGAAUUCUGACUAUAAGUGAGUUAACACAAAUGAGAAAGUUUGCUACAGAGAUAAACAACACCCGAGAAGAACUCCUAAAAACAAAAAAUGAAACACAAAACUACAAGGAAGAAGUCAAAAAAUACACAGACAAGCUGACAUCCAUGAAAACGCAGGUCAGCAGAUGGAUAUUGACAGAAUCUGCAAACAAGCCACUCUGUUUUUACCUGCAGAAACCAUCAAAAGAGAAAGACAUAAACUCUCUCAUAGUGGAAGACCAAUAUCAAAGUGAAGAAACAAUAGAAGAAUGGAACACGCAAUCAAACUACAAGCAAGAUUUUGGAGUGGACUUUAAGGAAGAGCAGAAUUUGUUUUUACAAAUGCACAAAGACAUUCACGAAGAAUCACUGAUAGAUGAUAAAGUAAUAAUGCAUAAAACAGAAAAGGAACAAGUUAAAAAUCAACUCCUAAAAUUCAAGAACCAAAAGGAGGAAAUCAAAAAGGAAAUUAAGAACAGUAUGAAAAGCAUGAAGGGGAAACAUCAAGAAAUUGAUCAGCUCAUUAAAGAAAUAAAAGACUUUCAGAGACCAGAGAUAGAAACUGGGUUACAAACUGCAGGUAGGGAAAUAAAUAAUAUCGGCAUAGGGAAAGCUAGACUAAGAGGAAAAAUAGACAGUGACAUUUGGAGAGUAAAAAACAAUAUUUAUAAAGAACAAAUUAAAUAUGAACUCCAAAUGCAAGAAAGGGAUAAUGACAGUAAGGUGAAACAAGAAAAGAAACAUGAUUCUGAAUUGAUGACAGUGGAUGAUUAUAAAAAAAUAAUUCUUGAAUCAAAGGAGUUCCAUCCUGAGGUGACAGAUGGUUAUUCCAACAAAAAAGACACAGGAAUGGACACAGCUAGUCUACAAACACUCAGGACAGAAGUUUAUAAAACACAAAAAAUCAUGAGAUCUGUAAUUCUAAAACUUGACACCCAAAAAAGUGAAAAUGUUGGAAAAGAUUAUAAUCAACCUCAAGAUGGUGAAAUUGAGGGAUUGUUAGAGGAUGUUAAAAAGUUCCAAGAUAUUUUAAAAAUGGUGACAACUGAAGUGGUAAAAAAUGAGAUCUCUUUGAGAAACGAAAGGAGCAACAUAAAAUUUGAAGCAAAAAGACUCAAAAGAGACCUGGCUCAGAAGUUGGAGAAAAUUCUGUGUGAAAAAGAUGAAUUAGAUAUUUUUAAAAUGCAAAUAAAGAAACGAGCAGAAGCAAUUCAACAGAAGAUGGAGAAAAUGAACAAGGUUAAGAGUGCUGUGGAGGAAAUGGCUGUUAAGUCUAAAAUUAAGCAGGAAGACAUGAAGAUUAUUUUUAGGAAUACCCAAGAAAAGCUGAGACACUUAGAGGGGUGUAAUGAAAAGACUGAUGAUGCAAUACAACACCUACAAAACAGUUUUAUUUUAAUAACUAAAAGAAAAGUUCAAUUAGAAGAAACCUUAAGACUCAAAAAACAACAGGUCCAGGUGGAGGUAUACAAAGUAAAAAGUUUGAGGAACAAUAUCAAAAGUGAGACUAAGAAGCCUGGUGACAGAGUACAACCAAUAAAAAGAAAAAUAGGUCCAGAAAUAGACCUGUUGAAAUCAGAGUUUGGAAUAAAGAGACAAAAAUGCGGAAAGACAAAAGAAAAGAAAUUACUCAGGAAAGUGACCAGAAGGAAAAGAGGAUUAGAUUCAACCUUGAGACAACCAGGUAAAUUAGAACAACUAAAACCUGAGGAUCAGUGUAUUAAACAUCAAAUGAGUGAUAUCCAAUUAUUCAAACAGCAUACAUGGCUGGAAAAGCGUCAGAUAAUAAAGAUGAAUACAACUCCUGAUGAUUCAAAAGUUAUAUCUUCUGUUUUUGACCUUGAAAUCAUUAGACAAAAAAUUCAUUCAAAUUUGGAGGUAAUAAAAAAGAACACUGGACUACUAGCUGAUGUAAAUAUCCAUUUAGAAAAACAAAGAGAAUGUCUCCAAAACUUAAAAGAUCACAGUAAGGCCAUAAUAAAAUGCAUGAUAAGGAACAAAGAAACUGUUAGGGUCAAAGCAGAAAAGAAUGAGGAAGACAACCGCCAAAAAGAAAAACAAAAACUUGAAAACACACUUGAGGCAAUACGAAGAGAAAAAAAAGAGAUGGAAGUGCUGAAGGCUGAGCUGGACUUCACAAAAAAAGAAAAUCAACAAAUGAUGAGACGAGGUAUUCGAAAAGACCAUGAGGUGAAAAUGAUGUGGGCUGAGAUUAAAGAAGAAAAAGAUGCUCGCAAGAGAAAACAAAGAAGAAACAAAGAGCUUGAUGAAAAGCUAGAGAGGAUGACCAAAAAAAAAGAAGAACUGAAAAUCAUGAAGCUUAAAAUGGAAAGAGGAAAAGAUGACACAACAGGUGGAACAAGACUGUCAAGGAUAUCAAUCACUGCAAAUGUUCCAAUGCAACUUUCAUGUACGUGGGUACUUUUUUCUAAAUGGACAGAAAAGUGUAACCAAAUGAAAAGACAGAUUUCUGAUUUCUACAAGACCAAAAAUAAUGAAAAUGCUUGCAUUAAACAUGAAACAAAAAUAACAUUGCAGGCAAAAGAAGACAUUAAAAACAUCAAGGAACAAAUUACCAAACAAAAAGAAUGUAUUCAAGGUGCUUUAAAAAGUGUGAAAAAAAGGGAACAAUGUUUGAUACAUUCAGAAACAGAAAAACUGCUAAGAAACAAAAACCUUCUAGAGGUUCUAAAAGAAAAACUUCAGCAUUUGAGUGAAAGGAUGACUGGUGCCAUUGCAGACAAACUUAGGAGGCUACAAAAGGACAAUGGAAAUGUAGUGAAGCUGGUCAGUCAUUUAGAACAAGAGCAUAUCUCUCUAGAUUCCCUGAAAACACAUAUGCUUUUCUACUCUGAAAUACUGCAGAAGGCAAAAGAAGGAUACAUAUGCCUGAUAACAGACUUUGCCAGGCAACAAGAAGAAACAAGAGAUCAACUGAUGCACCAGCUUGUAUUGGAAAAGCAAGAAAGGGAAACUCUGAAAAACUGGCUGAAGAAAGACAGAGACAAUCUGGAAAGAGAGAAAAAUGGCAUGAAUCAAGAAAAAGAAAACUUGUUGCAGAAACAACAAGAGUGUGAAACCCUAAAAGACGAGCUGAAGAAAGACAGAGACAAUCUGGAAAGGGAAAAAAAUAGCAUCCAUCUAGAAAAAAGGAACUUGAUGCAGAAACAACAAGUGUAUAAAACCCUGAAAGAUGAGCUGAAAAAAGACAGAGACAGUCUGGAAAGAGAGAAAAAUAGCAUACAUCAAGAAAAAGAGAACUUGUUGCAGAAACAACAAGAGUAUGAAACCCUAAAAGACGAGCUGAAGAAAGACAAAGGGAAUGUGGAAAGAGAUAAAAAUGGCAUGAAUCAGGUAAAAGAUUACUUGACGCAGACAAUGUUUGACAUCCAGCAGCAAAUGCAAGUUUUGGAGCAAAAGUUAAGACAUAAAAAGGACAGUCUGCAAAUCACAGCAAGUCGACUAGAAAAGACAAGAACACAUGCUGACAUCCUGUGUGUUGAGGUUAACAAAGACAAAGCAAAAAAUCUGUCCCUUCAGCUUCACAAAAACAGAGACCUACUUGAGAGAGCAAAGAACACAAUUGUCAUAAAGCAAAAAGAACAACAACUGAUGGAAGAGGACAUCAAGAGACAAAUCAAAGAACUACAGUCAAGCCGGUAUGACUUGCAGAGCCAAAGACAAGAACUGGGACUUUUAAGGCAAGAUCUCAACAAUGAGAUAGAAGAGGACAUCAAGAGACAAAUCAAAGAACUACAGUCAAGCCGGUAUGACUUGCAGAGCCAAAGACAAGAACUGGGACUUUUAAGGCAAGAUCUCAACAAUGAGAUAGAAGAGGUCCGGGUCGCAAAGGAGACCAUGAAGGUAAAAAGAGACCAAAUAGGUCAUAUGCAGACUGUUCCUGACACAGAGAGAGAAAUACUUUGGAACCAGAAAGAUACAAUGGAAAAACAAAGAUUGACUCUACAUAGAAAAGCUGAUCAAAUGACAGAAUCUGAAAAGCAUCUAGGGGAUCUAAGAGAAAAAAUUAAGCAUGUGAGUGAGAGAAUGACUGGUGAUAUUGCAGAUAAACUUAGCAGGCUCCAACAGGACAAUGGAAAAGUAGUGAAGCUGGUCAGUCGUUUGGAACAAGAGCAUAUCUCUCUAGAUUCCCUGAAAACACAUAUGCUUUUCUACUCUGAAAUACUGCAGAAGGCAAAGGAAGGAUACAUAUGCCUGAUAACAGACUUUGCCAGGCAACAAGAAGAAAUAAGAGAUCAACUGAUGCACCAGCUUGUAUUGGAAAAGCAAGAAAGGGAAACUCUGAAAAACUGGCUGAAGAAAGACAGAGACAAUCUGGAAAGAGAGAAAAAUGGCAUGAAUCAAGUAAAAGAAAACUUGUUGCAGAAACAACAAGAGUGUGAAACCCUAAAAGACGAGCUGAAGAAAGACAGAGACAAUCUGGAAAGGGAGAAAAAUAGCAUUCAUCUAGAAACAAGGAACUUGAUGCAGAAACAACAAGAGUAUGAAACCCUAAAAGACGAGCUGAAAAAAGACAGAGACAGUCUGGAAAGAGAGAAAAAUGGCAUGAAUCAAACGAAAGAGGACUUGAUGCAGAAACAACAAGAAUAUGAAAUCCUGAAAGACGAGCUGAAGAAAGACAAAGGGAAUGUGGAAAGAGAUAAAAAUGGCAUGAAUCAAGUAAAAGAUUACUUGAAGCAGAAAAUGUCCGACAUCCAGCAGCAAAUGCAAGUGUUGGAGCAAAAGUUAAGAGAUGAAAAGGAUAGUCUGCGAAUCACAGCAAGUCGACUAGAAAAGACAAGAACACAUGCUGACAUCCUGUUUGUUGAGGUUAACAAAGAUAAAGCAAAACAUCUGUCCCUUCAGCGUCACACAACCAGAGACCUACUUGAGAGAGCAAAGAACACAAUUGUCAUAAAGCAAAAAGAACAACAACUGAUGGAAGAGGACAUCAAGAGACAAAUCAAAGAACUACAGUCAAGCCGGUAUGACUUGCAGAGCCAAAGACAAGAACUGGGACUUUUAAGGCAAGAUCUCAACAAUGAGAUAGAAGAGGUCCGGGUCGCAAAGGAGACCAUGAAGGUAAAAAGAGACCAAAUAGGUCAUAUGCAGACUGUUCCUGACACAGAGAGAGAAAUACUUUGGAACCAGAAAGAUACAAUGGAAAAACAAAGAUUGACUCUACAUAGAAAAGCUGAUCAAAUGACAGAAUCUGAAAAGCAUCUAGGGGAUCUAAGAGAAAAAAUUAAGCAUGUGAGUGAGAGAAUGACUGGUGAUAUUGCAGAUAAACUUAGCAGGCUCCAACAGGACAAUGGAAAAGUAGUGAAGCUGGUCAGUCGUUUGGAACAAGAGCAUAUCUCUCUAGAUUCCCUGAAAACACAUAUGCUUUUCUACUCUGAAAUACUGCAGAAGGCAAAGGAAGGAUACAUAUGCCUGAUAACAGACUUUGCCAGGCAACAAGAAGAAAUAAGAGAUCAACUGAUGCACCAGCUUGUAUUGGAAAAGCAAGAAAGGGAAACUCUGAAAAACUGGCUGAAGAAAGACAGAGACAAUCUGGAAAGAGAGAAAAAUGGCAUGAAUCAAGUAAAAGAAAACUUGUUGCAGAAACAACAAGAGUGUGAAACCCUAAAAGACGAGCUGAAGAAAGACAGAGACAAUCUGGAAAGGGAGAAAAAUAGCAUCCAUCUAGAAAAAAGGAACUUGAUGCAGAAACAACAAGAGUAUGAAACCCUAAAAGACGAGCUGAAAAAAGACAGAGACAGUCUGGAAAGAGAGAAAAAUGGCAUGAAUCAAACGAAAGAGGACUUGAUGCAGAAACAACAAGAAUAUGAAAUCCUGAAAGACGAGCUGAAGAAAGACAAAGGGAAUGUGGAAAGAGAUAAAAAUGGCAUGAAUCAAGUAAAAGAUUACUUGAAGCAGAAAAUGUCCGACAUCCAGCAGCAAAUGCAAGUGUUGGAGCAAAAGUUAAGAGAUGAAAAGGAUAGUCUGCGAAUCACAGCAAGUCGACUAGAAAAGACAAGAACACAUGCUGACAUCCUGUCUGUUGAGGUUAACAAAGAUAAAGCAAAACAUCUGUCCCUUCAGCGUCACACAACCAGAGACCUACUUGAGAGAGCAAAGAACACAAUUGUCAUAAAGCAAAAAGAACAACAACUGAUGGAAGAGGACAUCAAGAGACAAAUCAAAGAACUACAGUCAAGCCGGUAUGACUUGCAGAGCCAAAGACAAGAACUGGGACUUUUAAUGCAAGAUCUCAACACUGAGAUAGAAGAGGACAUCAAGAGACAAAUCAAAGAACUACAGUCAAGCCGGUAUGACUUGCAGAGCCAAAGACAAGAACUGGGACUUUUAAUGCAAGAUCUCAACACUGAGAUAGAAGAGGUCCGGGUCGCAAAGGAGACCAUGAAGGUAAAAAGAGACCAAAUAGGUCAUAUGCAGACUGUUCCUGACACAGAGAGAGAAAUACUUUGGAACCAGAAAGAUACAAUGGAAAAACAAAGAUUGACUCUACAUAGAAAAGCUGAUCAAAUGACAGAAUCUGAAAAGCAUCUAGGGGAUCUGAGAGAAAAAAUUAAGCAUGUGAGUGAGAGAAUGACUGGUGAUAUUGCAGAUAAACUUAGCAGGCUCCAACAGGACAAUGGAAAAGUAGUGAAGCUGGUCAGUCGUUUGGAACAAGAGCAUAUCUCUCUAGAUUCCCUGAAAACACAUAUGCUUUUCUACUCUGAAAUACUGCAGAAGGCAAAGGAAGGAUACAUAUGCCUGAUAACAGACUUUGCCAGGCAACAAGAAGAAAUAAGAGAUCAACUGAUGCACCAGCUUGUAUUGGAAAAGCAAGAAAGGGAAACUCUGAAAAACUGGCUGAAGAAAGACAGAGACAAUCUGGAAAGAGAGAAAAAUGGCAUGAAUCAAGAAAAAGAAAACUUGUUGCAGAAACAACAAGAGUGUGAAACCCUAAAAGACGAGCUGAAGAAAGACAGAGACAAUCUGGAAAGGGAGAAAAAUAGCAUCCAUCUAGAAAAAAGGAACUUGAUGCAGAAACAACAAGAGUAUGAAACCCUAAAAGACGAGCUGAAGAAAGACAAAGGGAAUGUGGAAAGAGAUAAAAAUGGCAUGAAUCAAGUAAAAGAUUACUUGACGCAGAAAAUGUCCGACAUCCAGCAGCAAAUGCAAGUGUUGAAGCAAAGGUUAAGAGAUGAAAAGGACAGUCUGCAAAUCACAGCAAGUCGACUAGAAAAGACAAGAACACAUGCUGACAUCCUGUGUGUUGAGGUUAACAAAGACAAAGCAAAAAAUCUGUCCCUUCAGCUUCACAAAACCAGAGACCUACUUGAGAAAGCUAAGAACACAAUUGUCAUAAAGCAAAAAGAACAACAACUGAUGGAAGAGGACAUCAAGAGACAAAUCAAAGAACUACAGUCAAGCCGGUAUGACUUGCAGAGACAAAGACAAGAACUGGGACUUUUAAGGCAAGAUCUCAACAAUGAGAUAGAAGAGGUCCGGGCUGCAAAGGAGACCAUGAAGGUGAAAAGUGAUCAAAUAAGUCACAUGCAGACUGUCCUUGACACAGAGAGAGAAAUGCUUUGGAACCAGAAAGAUACAAUGGAAGAACAAAUAUUGAAUCUACAUAGGAGAGCUGAUCAAAUUAUGGAAUGUGAAAAGCAUCUACGGGUUCUGAAUGAAAAAAUUAAGCAUUUGAGUGAGAGGAUGACUGGUGCCAUUGCAGAUAAACUUAGCAGGCUCCAAAACGACAAUGGAAAUGUAGUGAAGAUGGUCAGUCAUUUGCAACAAGAGCAUAUCUCUCUAGAUUCCCUGAAAACACAUAUGCUUUUCUACUCUGAAAUACUGCAGAAGGCAAAGGAAGGAUACAUAUGCCUGAUAACAGACUUUGCCAGGCAACAAGAAGAAAUAAGAGAUCAACUGAUGCACCAGCUUGUAUUGGAAAAGCAAGAAAGGGAAACUCUGAAAAACUGGCUGAAGAAAGACAGAGACAAUCUGGAAAGAGAGAAAAAUGGCAUGAAUCAAGAAAAAGAAAACUUGUUGCAGAAACAACAAGAGUGUGAAACCCUAAAAGACGAGCUGAAGAAAGACAGAGACAAUCUGGAAAGGGAGAAAAAUAGCAUCCAUCUAGAAAGAAGGAACUUGAUGCAGAAACAACAAGAGUAUGAAACCCUAAAAGACGAGCUGAAAAAAGACAGAGACAGUCUGGAAAGAGAGAGAAAUGGCAUGAAUCAAAUGAAAGAGGGCUUGAUGCAGAAACAACAAGAAUAUGAAAUCCUGAAAGACGAGCUGAAGAAAGACAAAGGGAAUGUGGAAAGAGAUAAAAAUGGCAUGAAUCAAGUAAAAGAUUACUUGAAGCAGAAAAUGUCCGACAUCCAGCAGCAAAUGCAAGUGUUGGAGCAAAAGUUAAGAGAUGAAAAGGAUAGUCUGCGAAUCACAGCAAGUCGACUAGAAAAGACAAGAACACAUGCUGACAUCCUGUUUGUUGAGGUUAACAAAGAUAAAGCAAAACAUCUGUCCCUUCAGCUUCACACAACCAGAGACCUACUUGAGAGAGCAAAGAACACAAUUGUCAUAAAGCAAAAAGAACAACAACUGAUGGAAGAGGACAUCAAGAGACAAAUCAAAGAACUGCAGUCAAGCCGGUAUGACUUGCAGAGCCAAAGACAAGAACUGGGACUUUUAAGGCAAGAUCUCAACAAUGAGAUAGAAGAGGUCCGGGCUGCAAAGGAGACCAUGAAGGUGAAAAGUGAUCAAAUAAGUCACAUGCAGACUGUCCUUGACACAGAGAGAGAAAUGCUUUGGAACCAGAAAGAUACAAUGGAAGAACAAAUAUUGAAUCUACAUAGGAGAGCUGAUCAAAUUAUGGAAUGCGAAAAGCAUCUACGGGUUCUGAGUGAAAAAAUUAAGCAUGUGAGUGAGAGGAUGACUGGUGCCAUUGCAGAUAAACUUAGCAGGCUCCAAAGCGACAAUGGAAAUGUAGUGAAGAUGGUCAGUCAUUUGGAACAAGAGCAUAUCUCUCUAGAUUCCCUGAAAACACAUAUGCUUUUCUACUCUGAAAUACUGCAGAAGGCAAAGGAAGGAUACAUAUGCCUGAUAACAGACUUUGCCAGGCAACAAGAAGAAAUAAGAGAUCAACUGAUGCACCAGCUUGUAUUGGAAAAGCAAGAAAGGGAAACUCUGAAAAACUGGCUGAAGAAAGACAGAGACAAUCUGGAAAGAGAGAAAAAUGGCAUGAAUCAAGAAAAAGAAAACCUGUUGCAGAAACGACAAGAGUGUGAAACCCUAAAAGACGAGCUGAAGAAAGACAGAGACAAUCUGGAAAGGGAGAAAAAUAGCAUCCAUCUAGAAAAAAGGAACUUGAUGCAGAAACAACAAGAGUAUGAAACCCUAAAAGACGAGCUGAAAAAAGACAGAGACAGUCUGGAAAGAGAGAGAAAUGGCAUGAAUCAAAUGAAAGAGGGCUUGAUGCAGAAACAACAAGAAUAUGAAAUCCUGAAAGACGAGCUGAAGAAAGACAAAGGGAAUGUGGAAAGAGAUAAAAAUGGCAUGAAUCAAGUAAAAGAUUACUUGAAGCAGAAAAUGUCCGACAUCCAGCAGCAAAUGCAAGUGUUGGAGCAAAAGUUAAGAGAUGAAAAGGAUAGUCUGCGAAUCACAGCAAGUCGACUAGAAAAGACAAGAACACAUGCUGACAUCCUGUUUGUUGAGGUUAACAAAGAUAAAGCAAAACAUCUGUCCCUUCAGCUUCACACAACCAGAGACCUACUUGAGAGAGCAAAGAACACAAUUGUCAUAAAGCAAAAAGAACAACAACUGAUGGAAGAGGACAUCAAGAGACAAAUCAAAGAACUGCAGUCAAGCCGGUAUGACUUGCAGAGCCAAAGACAAGAACUGGGACUUUUAAGGCAAGAUCUCAACAAUGAGAUAGAAGAGGUCCGGGCUGCAAAGGAGACCAUGAAGGUGAAAAGUGAUCAAAUAAGUCACAUGCAGACUGUCCUUGACACAGAGAGAGAAAUGCUUUGGAACCAGAAAGAUACAAUGGAAGAACAAAUAUUGAAUCUACAUAGGAGAGCUGAUCAAAUUAUGGAAUGCGAAAAGCAUCUACGGGUUCUGAGUGAAAAAAUUAAGCAUGUGAGUGAGAGGAUGACUGGUGCCAUUGCAGAUAAACUUAGCAGGCUCCAAAGCGACAAUGGAAAUGUAGUGAAGAUGGUCAGUCAUUUGGAACAAGAGCAUAUCUCUCUAGAUUCCCUGAAAACACAUAUGCUUUUCUACUCUGAAAUACUGCAGAAGGCAAAGGAAGGAUACAUAUGCCUGAUAACAGACUUUGCCAGGCAACAAGAAGAAAUAAGAGAUCAACUGAUGCACCAGCUUGUAUUGGAAAAGCAAGAAAGGGAAACUCUGAAAAACUGGCUGAAGAAAGACAGAGACAAUCUGGAAAGAGAGAAAAAUGGCAUGAAUCAAGAAAAAGAAAACUUGUUGCAGAAACAACAAGAGUGUGAAACCCUAAAAGACGAGCUGAAGAAAGACAGAGACAAUCUGGAAAGGGAGAAAAAUAGCAUCCAUCUAGAAAAAAGGAACUUGAUGCAGAAACAACAAGAGUAUGAAACCCUAAAAGACGAGCUGAAAAAAGACAGAGACAGUCUGGAAAGAGAGAGAAAUGGCAUGAAUCAAAUGAAAGAGGGCUUGAUGCAGAAACAACAAGAAUAUGAAAUCCUGAAAGACGAGCUGAAGAAAGACAAAGGGAAUGUGGAAAGAGAUAAAAAUGGCAUGAAUCAAGUAAAAGAUUACUUGAAGCAGAAAAUGUCCGACAUCCAGCAGCAAAUGCAAGUGUUGGAGCAAAAGUUAAGAGAUGAAAAGGAUAGUCUGCGAAUCACAGCAAGUCGACUAGAAAAGACAAGAACACAUGCUGACAUCCUGUUUGUUGAGGUUAACAAAGAUAAAGCAAAACAUCUGUCCCUUCAGCUUCACACAACCAGAGACCUACUUGAGAGAGCAAAGAACACAAUUGUCAUAAAGCAAAAAGAACAACAACUGAUGGAAGAGGACAUCAAGAGACAAAUCAAAGAACUGCAGUCAAGCCGGUAUGACUUGCAGAGCCAAAGACAAGAACUGGGACUUUUAAGGCAAGAUCUCAACAAUGAGAUAGAAGAGGUCCGGGCUGCAAAGGAGACCAUGAAGGUGAAAAGUGAUCAAAUAAGUCACAUGCAGACUGUCCUUGACACAGAGAGAGAAAUGCUUUGGAACCAGAAAGAUACAAUGGAAGAACAAAUAUUAAAUCUACAUAGGAGAGCUGAUCAAAUUAUGGAAUGCGAAAAGCAUCUACGGGUUCUGAGUGAAAAAAUUAAGCAUGUGAGUGAGAGGAUGACUGGUGCCAUUGCAGAUAAACUUAGCAGGCUCCAAAGCGACAAUGGAAAUGUAGUGAAGAUGGUCAGUCAUUUGGAACAAGAGCAUAUCUCUCUAGAUUCCCUGAAAACACAUAUGCUUUUCUACUCUGAAAUACUGCAGAAGGCAAAGGAAGGAUACAUAUGCCUGAUAACAGACUUUGCCAGGCAACAAGAAGAAAUAAGAGAUCAACUGAUGCACCAGCUUGUAUUGGAAAAGCAAGAAAGGGAAACUCUGAAAAACUGGCUGAAGAAAGACAGAGACAAUCUGGAAAGAGAGAAAAAUGGCAUGAAUCAAGAAAAAGAAAACUUGUUGCAGAAACAACAAAAGUGUGAAACCCUAAAAGACGAGCUGAAGAAAGACAGAGACAAUCUGGAAAGGGAGAAAAAUAGCAUCCAUCUAGAAAAAAGGAACUUGAUGCAGAAACAACAAGAGUAUGAAACCCUAAAAGACGAGCUGAAGAAAGACAGAGACAAUCUGGAAAGGGAGAAAAAUAGCAUCCAUCUAGAAAAAAGGAACUUGAUGCAGAAACAACAAGAGUAUGAAACCCUAAAAGACGAGCUGAAAAAAGACAGAGACAGUCUGGAAAGACAGAAAAAUGGCAUGAAUCAAAUGAAAGAGGACUUGAUGCAGAAACAACAAGAAUAUGAAAUCCUGAAAGACGAGCUGAAGAAAGACAAAGGGAAUGUGGAAAGAGAUAAAAAUGGCAUGAAUCAAGUAAAAGAUUACUUGACGCAGAAAAUGUCCGACAUCCAGCAGCAAAUGCAAGUGUUGAAGCAAAGGUUAAAAUAUGAAAAGGACAGUCUGCAAAUCACAGCAAGUCGACUAGAAAAGACAAGAACACAUGCUGACAUCCUGUGUGUUGAGGUAAACAAACACAAAGCAAAAAAUCUGUCCCUUCAGCUUCACAAAACCAGAGACCUACUUGAGAAAGCUAAGAACACAAUUGUCAUAAAGCAAAAAGAACAACAACUGAUGGAAGAGGACAUCAAGAGACAAAUCAAAGAACUACAGUCAAGCCGGUAUGACUUGCAGAGCCAAAGACAAGAACUGGGACUUUUAAGGCAAGAUCUCAACAAUGAGAUAGAAGAGGUCCGGGCUGCAAAGGAGACCAUGAAGGUGAAAAGUGAUCAAAUAAGUCACAUGCAGACUGUCCUUGACACAGAGAGAGAAAUGCUUUGGAACCAGAAAGAUACAAUGGAAGAACAAAUAUUAAAUCUACAUAGGAGAGCUGAUCAAAUUAUGGAAUGCGAAAAGCAUCUACGGGUUCUGAGUGAAAAAAUUAAGCAUGUGAGUGAGAGGAUGACUGGUGCCAUUGCAGAUAAACUUAGCAGGCUCCAAAGCGACAAUGGAAAUGUAGUGAAGAUGGUCAGUCAUUUGGAACAAGAGCAUAUCUCUCUAGAUUCCCUGAAAACACAUAUGCUUUUCUACUCUGAAAUACUGCAGAAGGCAAAGGAAGGAUACAUAUGCCUGAUAACAGACUUUGCCAGGCAACAAGAAGAAAUAAGAGAUCAACUGAUGCACCAGCUUGUAUUGGAAAAGCAAGAAAGGGAAACUCUGAAAAACUGGCUGAAGAAAGACAGAGACAAUCUGGAAAGAGAGAAAAAUGGCAUGAAUCAAGAAAAAGAAAACUUGUUGCAGAAACAACAAGAGUGUGAAACCCUAAAAGACGAGCUGAAGAAAGACAGAGACAAUCUGGAAAGGGAGAAAAAUAGCAUCCAUCUAGAAAAAAGGAACUUGAUGCAGAAACAACAAGAGUAUGAAACCCUAAAAGACGAGCUGAAGAAAGACAGAGACAAUCUGGAAAGGGAGAAAAAUAGCAUCCAUCUAGAAAAAAGGAACUUGAUGCAGAAACAACAAGAGUAUGAAACCCUAAAAGACGAGCUGAAAAAAGACAGAGACAGUCUGGAAAGACAGAAAAAUGGCAUGAAUCAAAUGAAAGAGGACUUGAUGCAGAAACAACAAGAAUAUGAAAUCCUGAAAGACGAGCUGAAGAAAGACAAAGGGAAUGUGGAAAGAGAUAAAAAUGGCAUGAAUCAAGUAAAAGAUUACUUGACGCAGAAAAUGUCCGACAUCCAGCAGCAAAUGCAAGUGUUGAAGCAAAGGUUAAGAUAUGAAAAGGACAGUCUGCAAAUCACAGCAAGUCGACUAGAAAAGACAAGAACACAUGCUGACAUCCUGUGUGUUGAGGUAAACAAACACAAAGCAAAAAAUCUGUCCCUUCAGCUUCACAAAACCAGAGACCUACUUGAGAAAGCUAAGAACACAAUUGUCAUAAAGCAAAAAGAACAACAACUGAUGGAAGAGGACAUCAAGAGACAAAUCAAAGAACUACAGUCAAGCCGGUAUGACUGGCAGAGCCAAAGACAAGAACUGGGACUUUUAAGGCAAGAUCUCAACAAUGAGAUAGAAGAGGUCCGGGCUGCAAAGGAGACCAUGAAGGUGAAAAGUGAUCAAAUAAGUCACAUGCAGACUGUCCUUGACACAGAGAGAGAAAUGCUUUGGAACCAGAAAGAUACAAUGGAAGAACAAAUAUUGAAUCUACAUAGGAGAGCUGAUCAAAUUAUGGAAUGCGAAAAGCAUCUACGGGUUCUGAGUGAAAAAAUUAAGCAUGUGAGUGAGAGGAUGACUGGUGCAAUUGCAGAUGACCUUAGCAGGCUCCAAAACGACAAUGGAAAUGUAGUGAAGAUGGUCAGUCAUUUGCAACAAGAGCACAUCUCUCUAGAUUCCCUGAAAACACAUAUGCUUUUCUACUCUGAAAUACUGCAGAAGGCAAAGGAAGGAUACAAAUGCCUGAUAACAGACUUUGCCAGGCAACAAGAAGAAAUAAGAGAUCAACUGGUGCACCAGCUUGUAUUGAAAAAGCAAGAAAGGGAAACUCUGAAAAACUGGCUGAAGAAAGACAGAGACAAUCUGGAAAGAGAGAAAAAUGGCAUGAAUCAAGAAAAAGAAAACUUGUUGCAGAAACAACAAGAGUAUGAAACCCUAAAAGACAAGCUGAAGAAAGACAGAGACAAUCUGGAAAGGGAGAAAAAUAGCAUCCAUCUAGAAAAAAGGAACUUGAUGCAGAAACAACAAGAGUAUGAAAUCCUGAAAGACGAGCUGAAGAAAGACAAAGGGAAUGUGGAAAGAGAUAAAAAUGGCAUGAAUCAAGUAAAAGAUUACUUGAAGCAGAAAAUGUCCGACAUCCAGCAGCAAAUGCAAGUGUUGGAGCAAAAGUUAAGAGAUGAAAAGGAUAGUCUGCGAAUCACAGCAAGUCGACUAGAAAAGACAAGAACACAUGCUGACAUCCUGUGUGUUGAGGUUAACAAAGACAAAGCAAAAAAUCUGUCCCUUCAGCUUCACAAAACCAGAGACCUACUUGAGAAAGCUAAGAACACAAUUGUCAUAAAGCAAAAAGAACAACAACUGAUGGAAGAGGACAUCAAGAGACAAAUCAAAGAACUACAGUCAAGCCGGUAUGACUUGCAGAGCCAAAGACAAGAACUGGGACUUUUAAGGCAAGAUCUCAACAAUGAGAUAGAAGAGGUCCGGGCUGCAAAGGAGACCAUGAAGGUGAAAAGUGAUCAAAUAAGUCACAUGCAGACUGUCCUUGACACAGAGAGAGAAAUGCUUUGGAACCAGAAAGAUACAAUGGAAGAACAAAUAUUGAAUCUACAUAGGAGAGCUGAUCAAAUUAUGGAAUGCGAAAAGCAUCUACAGGUUCUGAGUGAAAAAAUUAAGCAUGUGAGUGAGAGGAUGACUGGUGCCAUUGCAGAUAAACUUAGCAGGCUCCAAAGCGACAAUGGAAAUGUAGUGAAGAUGGUCAGUCAUUUGGAACAAGAGCAUAUCUCUCUAGAUUCCCUGAAAACACAUAUGCUUUUCUACUCUGAAAUACUGCAGAAGGCAAAGGAAGGAUACAUAUGCCUGAUAACAGACUUUGCCAGGCAACAAGAAGAAAUAAGAGAUCAACUGAUGCACCAGCUUGUAUUGGAAAAGCAAGAAAGGGAAACUCUGAAAAACUGGCUGAAGAAAGACAGAGACAAUCUGGAAAGAGAGAAAAAUGGCAUGAAUCAAGAAAAAGAAAACUUGUUGCAGAAACAACAAGAGUGUGAAACCCUAAAAGACGAGCUGAAGAAAGACAGAGACAAUCUGGAAAGGGAAAAAAAUAGCAUCCAUCUAGAAAAAAGGAACUUGAUGCAGAAAACAACAAGAGUAUGA